AGAACGAACGCUGGCGGCAUGCCUAACACAUGCAAGUCGAACGCUCCUGGGGCUUCGGUCUCAGGGGAGUGGCGCACGGGUGAGUAGCGCGUGGGAACCUGCCCUGUUGUGGGGGAUAACCGAGGGAAACUUCGGCUAAUACCGCAUAAGCCGGUUGUCUUGAAAGAGAUGGCCGGGAAAGAUUUAUCGCGACAGGAGGGGCCCGCGUCGGAUUAGCUAGUUGGUGGGGUAACGGCCCACCAAGGCAGUGAUCCGUAGCUGGUCUGAGAGGAUGAUCAGCCACACUGGGACUGAGACACGGCCCAGACUCCUACGGGAGGCAGCAGUGGGGAAUAUUGGACAAUGGGCGCAAGCCUGAUCCAGCAAUGCCGCGUGAGUGAUGAAGGCCUUAGGGUUGUAAAGCUCUUUCGCCCGCGACGAUGAUGACGGUAGCGGGAGAAGAGCCCGGCUAACUUCGUGCCAGCAGCCGC
rnacentral:rRNA from 1 species